GGGUAUUUGUGUUCUUCUGGGUGCUGUCAACACUAUUCAUAGUCACUGGUGUCCUGUGUUCCUGGAUACACAGUGCAGUGUUCUCUCUGAUGUGGUAAAAGUGGUGCUUUCUCCUUUACCCACACCAAGCCUGCGGUUGACAAGUGUCUGAUCUGUCUUCGUGGGGGUAGGUUUGUCCUCAUGGAGAGCCUUCAGCUCUAGUUCUUGGAAGUGCAACGUUCUGAACUGUUAACUGCACAUGCAGGAACCGCGAUAUUUCUUAGAAAAAUGAACAGGUUUGCUGUCAUGCUUUAUUUAUUUAUUUAUUUAUUUAUUUAUUUAUUUAUUUAUUUAUUAGCACACUCAGAAUUUGUGUUCCAGAUCCAAACUACAGAGCUAUACCAACCCAUCAUCUCACGCUGGCCAGUCAGUUCUCCCUGGUUUCCUGUACUCCAGGGUUCAGACAAGGGAAGAACAAUUCCCUCAUGACUCCCAGGCCUUGAGCCAUAGAGAGGGUUCCCAGCCCUGGCUCGCUGUGUUCAUCUCAGUGUGUGGCAUGAAGACUGCCACUGACCUCUUCUUACCUGUCCUCUGCCUGUCCAACCUGAGUUUGCAGUAGACUUAGAUUUGCAUAUUUUAUACAGGUGCAUUAUUUAUAACACUUUACAUCUUAGUGUCUACAGGUCCAAGGAACAAAACCCUACUACUUAGUCUAAUUCUCAGUUAAAAGACAAAAUGAAGCUGAAAUUUUUCUGGCCAUUAUUUCGUCUCAAUUUGACCUUCAGUGAAAAUGUUUUACAGUGUCAAGGCUGGUUAUUCUCAAAGCCCCCAAACGUUUCGGUGGCUGAGGGAGGAUCAGAAAAGAGGCUUUUGGUUCUAUCUGGUUAAAUAACACAGGUACUUUACCUCGGGAGAUAAGUCCAUCGCUAGUGUUUGGUUUUACAGUUUAGAUAGAAUACCAAGACAAGGCUUGCUGCAGAGUAAGUGAUUUACACAGCACUCUUAGCUGCUGUCUGUCCACACAACACCGAGAGCUGGAACGGGCCCUUGGAAGGCACAGUCCCUGGCUGCAUGGCAGGCCUCAGCCUCAAUCCUCUUUAUGGGAUAGGGUCAUGUUGCCCACUGCAGGCCCUGCAGCGCUCUCGUUCCCAGGAUGGAAGCAGCUGGAAAGCCAUGGUUAUGGAAGGGGAAGUAGCCAUGCCUAUGCUCCGGGCACCCAGACCGAGGCAGGAGAAGUAAGCAUGUCUUGUGCCAGCCUGCCGUACAUACUAAGACAGAAAAACACCAAGUAGAAGGUUGCAGUUGUGGCUGAAGCAAGAGAGCAGGCUCCAUAUUACUAUGAGCUGUUGACAUUCUAACCAUAGUGAAGAAAGUGCUGGUGAUGCUGUCAUUAUCUUGUCUUUAGCCAUCCUUUCAGGUAGAGGAACCCAUUACCAUGGUAACAUCUACAAUAGGCCUUCCUUGCCAGACUUAUUUUUCAGGCCUGACACAGCCUAAGUGGUCAUUUUUAAAUGACUGCCAGCUCAAAGUAAAAUGCUGCAGUUGUUGGCAUCCUCCUGUGGUAGCAUACUGCAACUGAAAUGCCUAAUCUUCCCUAUACUAAGUGGCUCUGGUCCCACAUAAAAUGCAGGACAGUCUGAUUUUCGUUUACUGUGUGAUGUGCUCGUAGGACAGAAGCUUUGCUUACUCCAUAUGUCUAAACUGUAGGUGGCUUUGGAUCUGCAAAGGCAAGUUCUCCACAAUAAAACUCUUCAGUUUCGUAACUCAGUCCCUCAGAAAGCAUGGUGGUUCUGAGGAUCUGGGUCAGCACUGACCCAAGGGUAGAUGUUGUCCACGGUGCGGCUCCUGCUCGCCCUUGUACUGGGUACAGCUUUCAGUCUCACUGAAGUGAGGCAGCAGGCACGCAGGUAAAUCAUGUGUAAUGGUGUGGGUCACUGCACUGCCUUACACCAGGGAUGCAUGAAGGCAUGCUUACCUGCUAACUUCUGAAGUCAUUUCCCCUUAGUGUUCAAGUGUUGAGCUGAGUGUCUGAACACCAGCCAUUGGAGAGGAUCUGCUUGAUAAAGACAUUCUUUAAGGAGAACUCCAUAAAUUCCUUCAAAUGAGGGAGGGGUGCAAGGUAAUGGGACUUUGUUUGACUUUGCUAGUUCCAUUUAGCAUUUGGUAAGAAAGCUGGCAGUGGUGGCACACACUUUUAUUCCCAGCAAUCUGGAGGCAGAACAAGUUCCAGGACAGUCAAGACUACACAG
rnacentral:lncRNA from 1 species